rnacentral:lncRNA from 1 species
ACAACUGUUGAUAAGCAAAGGCAAAAGGCUAAAACACAUGUUUGGCCAGAAGAACUAAAAGCUAAAUCAUGUCAUUUCAGCGAGAAUGACUCAUGCAGUUAUAGGCAAAAUACAAAACUAGCGGCCUAGAAAGCACGUCGGCAAGUUACAGAUAAUUGAUCAAUGAUAGAGCCAGACGUCAGUCUGCACAAGCUGGAGACGCCUCUCGACUGGCGACGUACACGUCCAGGUAAACUAUCCAGCAGCGUGUAGUAGAGCACCUGCACCCUACAUCCACACAUAUACGAAUCAUUCAACAAGCCCAUCAACAAGAAAGGAGAUCGAGAUUUCAAAGUGGGGAGGAAGCAACUAACCGUCCAAAGAAGACGGGCCAGUUAUAGAUGGAGAGUUAGGCACGCUUGAGUGUGGACGCCAUCGCUGCUGCCGUCAUCUGGAUCAGGGUGUCAGGGAGGAAGCAAUCCGAAGCAAGAAGAACUGAGAAAAAUGAAAAGUAUCAGCAGCCAGAAGCAUGUAGGCAACAGUACUGGAUAAUCUGUUGCUGCAUAUAAAUACUGAAUUACAACAGCAGACAUGCUUUGAAAACUACAUUACAUAUUACAACAGCAUAAUAAAAAUGUACUCAAAUAUAUUCACAAAAGCACACAGACUAUAUAUUAGUCCUUUCACAAUUGGAGUAAGAAAUGCAAGGAUAGUUAUAACUUGGAAGUUUCGCAUUAAUAGCCUAAUAACAAAUUUCAAAUAAAAACAGUAUUAGUUCUAAUAUUAUAUGCCAAAGUAGAAAAGAAAGCCUCGCAGUUCUCUCAGUUAUCACAAAAGUAAUAU